rnacentral:rRNA from 1 species
UACAGGGGGGGCAAGCGUUGUUCGGAAUUACUGGGCGUAAAGCGCGCGUAGGCGGCUUUGUAAGUCAGAGGUGAAAGCCUGGAGCUCAACUCCAGAACUGCCUUUGAAACUACAUCGCUAGAAUCAUGGAGAGGUUAGUGGAAUUCCGAGUGUAGAGGUGAAAUUCGUAGAUAUUCGGAAGAACACCAGUGGCGAAGGCGACUAACUGGACAUGUAUUGACGCUGAGGUGCGAAAGCGUGGGGAGCAAACAGG